rnacentral:ribozyme from 1 species
UUCUUCCCCUCCUUCUUCCCCUCCUUCUUCCCCAACUUGGAGACCAACUUCCCCUUCUGGGAAGACCUCACAGAAAAAUCCUUUCUCGUCUCUUC